rnacentral:lncRNA from 1 species
UUACAAAGUAGUUCGAUUUUACAAGGGAUAUGAAAAAUGAAUACAGGGAAACCUCGAUAGAAAGGAGGGAAAUACAAAAGAAAUCCCUUUACAAGAAAAGCAUAUGAAAUGAAAACCUAAGUACUAGGCGAGAUCGUGCGGAGACGCUUGUUUUCAUGGGCCAAGCAUUCCUCAUCAAUCAGGACAUCGUCUUCUUGUUCCUUAAUGUGAGCUCGUCGAAAACGCCUAUGCAUUUUUCCACGUAAUCUUGAUGUCUUAGGCCGAGAUUCUCCCAUAGUCUUGAAGUUCCCAAGCACGGGGAUCACGUCCACUUCAGGUUUACCCAUCUAAACCUAAACCUAAAGGGGCACUCAUGAUUAAACAUAUCGUCGUUGGAAUAUAAAACGCAUAAUUGAAAUAUGGAAAAUAAAAAGAUAAGGACGAUAAAAAAGGAACAAUCACUUACCCACAAAACACAUGGCAACACAAGUCACAUGUCGCAUGAAACUGUGAGGUUUUGACGCCUAAGGUGAGGGUGCUAAAGGCUCAAGGUCCUCAUCCCAAAGGACAAAAAUAGUUUACCCACCGCUACUAUCGUCGGUCAGUGCUAUUUUUAUCGGUUGGGAUGAGCGGGUUUAUGUAAGUAAUGGAUUACCACGAGCAUCCACUCGCAGAUUCCACCCAUAAACCCUCCUAAGGUCCUAAAUUGGGCGAUCGGGGUUUUAGACCGCGGUUGUGUGUGCGGUGUCGUGCUAAAGCUGGUAAACAUGCAUUUAAUUUUAAACAUCCAGCACUUCAAUAAAAACCCACAUACAUUCAUUCAUCCUUACACCACCUGCAAAACAAAGGGUUUACAAGCACGCCUCCCCUUAUAACUCCCACCUACAAAACCAUUUAACACGAGGUUAGUGACUAACCUGAUUUUCCACGCGACUUUGACAUGCAGACGAUCCUACAAGAGACAUGUCAGUCAAAACACAACAACCAUUUUUAAACGGCUUCAAGUCCUCUUAACCUAGUAACCAGUCCCCAGCGGAGUCGCCAAGCCUGUCGCGACCCGAUCUCGCCGCCCCCUCGAAAUGGUAUCCAAGGAUGGGAAAGGUCGGGUUUAGGGAUACUUGAUCUCGAGAUCUCGAGCUCUCCCAAGCUCGUACCCCGCGUGACAGCGGAAUGUCGCGAUCCAUACCCACAUAAGCGACACACCUAAAAAAGGGAGUCGAAUGUGGAUAUCGAAUUUAAGGGUACUUUUACCAUGGUAGCCCUCUCGAUAGUACGCUCCACCCAUUAGGAUGGCAUCACUUCAUCCUUUGGGCUACCCCCACAUCGAGUAUGCUAAACCAUAGUGAGUUUCAUCGAAACUCAUACCCCGCGUGACAGCGGAUUUAUUUAUACGAUCUAUUUAUUUAUGACAACCUAAAAAUAGACGGGAGUCGCCACUAGCCUCAACUUUGGGGGUUGGCUAGAAACCCAAUCGAGGGUCGGGAGUGUUCCCUCGAUUCCUACGCUACCAGAUAUCUAGGUUCGGGGACUUGGGUUACGCUAAUAUUGCUAUUAGCGCCCUUUCGGUACCUAAACAGUAUGUUGUGUUUUUCCUAACAUGUCCAUGCGUUUCUUUUUAUAUUUUCAGGAUCAUCAAUUCCUAUACUAAGUGAUCAUGCGUGGUUGAUCAUUUUCAUGCUAUUCUAUUUCUAAAAAAAUAAAAAGGAAAACAACCAAUGAAAUUGAAAUUACAAAACAUGAAGUAAACAAUCAAGAAAAGCAGUUAAACCUAUCAGGCAGUCCUAAAAAAUAUAAAAGAGAAAACAAACGAGAAAGAAAGGAAACCCGCAACUCGUCGGGCUUUAUACAAUGCAUAAAACCCGAGACAUAUGUCGGGAAAACAAAAAGUACAAGACAAUGGUCGGAAUGGACAUCGACCUCCACCACCUUCAUGCCUUCUCCAUCCUCAAGGUCCUAAUCUAAACCUAAUCUAAGAAAUUUAUGACUAGGUGCAUACAAAUAAAAGAAAAAAACAAACACAUCAAGCAACCAAAAACAAUACAUCAUAUCAAAAUCAAUUGUUUAAAAGAAGUUCAAUGUGAAGUCAAAUUUCGAGUGAUAUCCUAAAGUUCAGCAUUAAUAUGUGUCGCACUAAAAUCAUUUAUCAAAUGAUUACAUGCAAAGCAUAUAAUAUGACAUACAUCCAAGUCAUAUAACUUUGGUUCUCAAUUAACCAAACACGUGAAUUUGCUGAUAAAAGAUCAUUCACCAAACAAUAUGCAUCAUCAAUCGUGUUCAGGCUACAUGUAUGUCCAUCUAAUCAAUGCUUAAUCCACAACUUCCAGCAUGCAAUCAAUGUUGUAACAGAACACGUGGGACUAUAAAUUGUAAUUGUUUGAUGACAAAUUGCCAUGAAAUUGAAGUCAUGUCUUGCCACAAGCACGUAUGAAUUUUCUUGAUCAAAAUGGCAUCAAUUAAUAACCAAACUAACCUCAUGUUAGAAUCAAAUGCACAUCCAAUCAUAAGCAGCGAUUAUAGCAUACUGAUAUUCAUAUAUGGUGUGUGUCAUGGAAAAUCAAAUUUGCAUUUGCAUUGAACAGUUUGAAGUUAGAAAUGCCAUACACACAGACAUAGAUUUUUAGCAAGCAAGCAAGAGGGAUAUACCACAAACAUAUGCUUCCCUAGUACGCAAUUACAAGAAGAAAUCAGCAAAGACUAACAUGUUACCACAGCCAAAGAAAUUCAGCAAAUGGCCAUUUGAACCCAGCAUGCACUAAACCUUAUUAUCAAUCUUACGCAAAGAAAUUGUAUAAGGAUUCUGAUCAUUGACCUCAUUAGUAUGACUGUAUACAACAUCUAGAAUGGUCUCAAUGUCAACGCCAUCUCUAUCCCUUUACGACACAACAAUCGUUCGUCUCAAUUACACAGCAAAGAGCACGGCUUAAUCAAUAUCUACUCAGCUCAAGGUCAAAUCCGAACCAGAACCAAAACAAAUCAUCUAAAUCCAUCAAUCAAUAACAAUGAUGACAACAGCAGCACCUAAACAAAUGACAUUUACUAGGAAAAACUCAAUAAACUUGUUCUUCCCUACCUGGUCGAACCAGAGAUAGAGCGAUUGAGAGAUAAAGCCAGAUAACCUUGAAUGAAUGGUGAAGGAUUGAAGUCGUGGCUGCCAACGAUGCUAUCACCACUGUUGCAGGGGAGUUAGCAAUCUGAACAGGCCGCGUGAAUCUGAGCCUUGAACUCCGAGGUCCUCGACCGGCCGUUUUAGCGAAUCAAAUCCGGUGUGCGAGAGAGAGCCGAAAGAAAAUUGUUCGAGUCAGAAACGGCGAACGAGAAAUCGGAGACCAAAACCCUAACGGAUCAAAAGAGAGAGGAAGAGAGCUCACGAUUGAGCAAGUGAUCGAGCCUGAACCUAAACGGAGAGUGAUCGUGAGCCUCCCUUGUGAUUCCUAACCAUCGGUCUUUGAUCUCCGAGAGUGAUUCACCGAACCAAAUUCGCCAUCGUAGUCGCUGCGGCUGCGGUCGGCUUUGGAUCGAGUCAGAUCCGGCAAGCAGAGAACUAGAUUCGGCGAAUCGAGAACCGUCGGUGCCGUCGCCGUUGUUAUAACCGCCGCCGUCUUCGCCGAUUGUCGAUGCGACCGAGCGAACCAAUGAAAGAAUCAAAGAAGAGGGAAUCUCCGGAAAAGCGAUCUCCAGGAGCUACGGGGAGAGAGGCUUCGCAUUGCAGGGGUUAGAGGUCCUAAAAUCAAUCGCAGACCGCACCCCUCGCUGCCACCGCCGGCCGGAGGAGACUCCGUUCGCUGAAGACGACGCGGGCUCUAACCGAUUUUCCCCUUUCCCCUCCGAUUCUUCGUCCUGUUUUCUUCUUUUUUUUCAAGCCAGAGAGAGAAACUUUGUGCGAAGUCUCGAGAGAGAGAGAGCGUCCGUGCCCCCAGCGAAUCCCCCCGAAGAGAGAGAGAGAUUCCGUGAGGAGAGAGAGUGAGUGCCUGAGGAGAGAGUGAGUGCGUCAGGAGAGACCGUCCGUAUGAGGAGAGAGACCCCUUUUUGCAGUCCGCGAUUCCCC